GGUAAUCUUGUUAAACCCUGUCGUGCUGGGGAUAGAGCAUUGCAAUUAUNGCUCUUCAACGAGGAAUGCCUAGUAGGCACGAGUCAUCAGCUCGUGCCGAUUACGUCCCUGCCCUUUGUACACACCGCCCGUCGCUACUACCGAUUGAAUGGCUCGGUGAGGCCUUCGGACUGGCUCAGGGGGGUUGGCAACGACCCCCCAGAGCCGGAAAGUUGGUCAAACCCGGUCAUUUAGAGGAAGUAAAAGUCGUAACAAGGUUUCCGUAGGUGAACCUGCGGAAGGAUCAUUA
rnacentral:rRNA from 1 species